rnacentral:rRNA from 1 species
UGGGGAAUAUUGCACAAUGGGCGCAAGCCUGAUGCAGCGACGCCGCGUGCGGGAUGGAGGCCUCGGGUUGUAAACCGCUUUGUUCAAGGGCAAGGCACGGUCUUUGGCCGUGUUGAGUGGAUUGUUCGAAUAAG